rnacentral:rRNA from 1 species
UACGAAGGGGGCGAGCGUUGUUCGGAUUUACUGGGCGUAAAGGGCGCGCCGGCGGCUUGGUAAGUCGGAUGUGAAAUCCCGAGGCUCAACCUCGGGUCUGCAUCCGAUACUGCCCGGCUAGAGGUAGGUAGGGGAGAUCGGAAUUCCUGGUGUGAGCGGUGGAAAUGACGCAGAUAUCAGGAGGAACACCGGUGGCGAAGGCGGAUCUCUGGGCCUUACCUGACGCUCAGGCGCGAAAGCUAGGGGAGCGAACUGGA